CCCACACAUACCCUCUACCAUGUAAGAUUAGACGCGCCCCCCGUUUUGGAAGAUGGUACCCCCAUGCGGACCUCUAUGGAUCUACUAAGGCGCCUUAAUAACCUAUCGCCGGAUGAUGGGUCGUCC
rnacentral:rRNA from 1 species